rnacentral:rRNA from 1 species
GACGAACGCUGGCGGCAUGCCUAAUACAUGCAAGUCGAACGAGAGCGACCGGUGCUUUCACUGGUCAAUCUAUUGGCGAACGGGUGAUUAACACGUGGGUAACCUGCCCAUCAGAGGGGGAUAACAUCCGGAAACGGAUGCUAAAACCGCAUAGGUCUUCGAACUGCAUGGUUUGAAGAUGAAAAGAGCCGCAAGCUACUGCUGAUGGCUGCACCCGCGGUGCAUUAGCUAGUUGGUGAGGUAACGGCUCACCAAGGCCGUGAUGCAUAGCCGACCUGAGAGGGUGAUCGGACACAUUGGGACUGAGACACGGCCCAAACUCCUACGGGAGGCAGCAGUAGGGAAUCUUCCGCAAAGGACGAAAGUCUGACGGAGCAACGCCGCGUGAGUGAAGAAGGUGUUCUGAUCGUAAAACUCUGUUGUUAGAGAAGAACAAGUGCUAGAGUAACUGUUAGCGCCUUGACGGUAUCUAAACAGAAAGCCACGGCUAACUACGUG